rnacentral:rRNA from 1 species
UGGGGAAUAUUGGACAAUGGGCGCAAGCCUGAUCCAGCCAUGCCGCGUGAGUGAUGACGGCCUUAGGGUUGUAAAGCUCUUUUGGCCGGAAAGAGGGUUCGGGUGAAUACCCCGGAUCCCUGACGGUACCGGCAGAAUAAGCACCGGCUAACUAC